GAACAAGUUUUGUUAUGGUACUUUUGAUGAAAACUGACUUUCUAGACCUCAAAUGUCACUUUUUUGACCUUAUCAUACUUUUUCAUCAACUUUUGCAUUUUAAUGUAAACAAUCAUAUUUCGUAAUAUUUUGGGUCAGAAACAUUUCAUAGUACUAUAUUAUGUCUAACUAUGUGAAAAAAAUCAAAUUGGAGUAGGUCGGGCAACUGAUUAUAUGAGUUUGUUAGAAAAACCACUUUCCUUUGCUCCUAGCGCCUUCUCGUUCGCUCUAUAGCGUUUUGAGCGGAUAAAGAGCACAAGUGUGUAAGGAGACACAGGAUGAAUGCGAACUACUUUUGUUAUUGUACUUUUGAUGAAAACUGACUUUCUAGACAUAAAAUGUCACUUUUUUAACCUUAUCAUACUUUUUCAUCAACUUUUGCAUUUUAAUGUAAACAAUCAUAUUUCGUAAUAUUUUGGGUCAGAAACAUUUCAUAGUACUAUAUUAUGUCUAACUAUGUGAAAAAAAUCAAAUUGGAGUACGUCGGGCAAUUGAUUAUAUGAGUUUGUUAGAAAAACCACUUUCCUUUGCUCCUAGCGCCUUCUCGUUCGCUGUAUAGCGUUUUGAGCGGAUAAAGAGCACAAGUGUGCAUGGACACACAGGAUGAAUGGAAACAAGUUUUGUUAUGGUACUUUUGAUGAAAAGUGACUUUCUGACCUUCAAAUGUCACUUUUUUCAACUUAUCAUACUUUAUCAUCAAGUUUUACAUUUUAAUGUAAACAAUCAUAUUUCGUAUUAUUUUAGGGUCAGAAACAUUUCAUAGUACUAUAUUAUGUCUAACUAUGUGAAAAAAAUCAAAUUGGAGUACGUCGGGCAACUGAUUAUAUGAGUUUGUUAGAAAAACCACUUUCCUUUGCUCCUAGCGCCUUCUCGUUCGCUCUAUAGCGUUUUGAGCGGAUAAAGAGCACAAGUGUGUAAGGAGACACAGGAUGAAUGCGAACUAGUUUUGUUAUUGUACUUUUGAUGAAAACUGACUUUCUAGACAUCAAAUGUCACUUUUUUGACCUUAUCAUACUUUAUCAUCAACUUUUGCAUUUUAAUGUAAACAAUCAUAUUUCGUAUUAUUUAGG
ensembl:lncRNA